UUUUCAAGCCACAGGUCUUGGGUAAAGCCAAGUGGGAAUAUAAAUAUGGUUUAUUUCACAUUGUUUUU
rnacentral:tRNA from 1 species